UACGUAGGGUGCAAGCGUUAAUCGGAAUUACUGGGCGUAAAGCGUGCGCAGGCGGUUAUGCAAGACAGAUGUGAAAUCCCCGGGCUUAACCUGGGAACUGCAUUUGUGACUGCAUGGCUAGAGUACGGUAGAGGGGGAUGGAAUUCCGCGUGUAGCAGUGAAAUGCGUAGAUAUGCGGAGGAACACCGAUGGCGAAGGCAAUCCCCUGGACCUGUACUGACGCUCAUGCACGAAAGCGUGGGGAGCAAACAGG
rnacentral:rRNA from 1 species